ensembl:lncRNA
CACAAUACCAAACAAUAAAGACAUUUCAGAUGUUGUGUUAUCGGUAGUGUUUAAGUUUGUAGUUUGUGUGAAUUAAGUCAAGAUGACAAGGGUGAAAGUGAUGCACAUUGAAAAUGAUUCAGACUGGCUGAAUGUUAGACUUCUUAACCACAGCAGAACUCAGUCGAUUUGUUUACUGUGUCCCAAAUGACAUCCUAUUCCCUGCACAGUGCCCUACAUCACCCCAGGACCUGUAGAGAACACAGUCAGCUGUGGGUCAAAAUUACACCCUUGUUCCCUACUGUACAUUGUUUCAGAGAGGCCUCAUCACAGCUGAUGAAGAACUAUGAUAACUGUCAAGUUCCCUCUUCUAUAGUAACCAUGUUUAUUUCAGGGAGCAGUCGGAAAUAUCGAUGAUACAUGGAUGGUAGUCAAUGAAGAAAUUAUAGCAUACAUAGAGUGGGUAAUCCAAACAGUUUCUCCCACAACAGCAUUAUGCAUUUUGUAAUUUCAUUUUGAGAAAUAAUGAAAGACCUCAAGGCUUCUGCCCGUUAUUUAAUGACACAGACCACCCUGGGUCUAUGAUGAAAUACAGAUAUCUGAGGGUGGUUGGGUGUGAAAAAUGUCAACUUCUCUGUUCUAAAGUUAACAGGUUUGUUUUAGCCGAGGAGAUACACAUUCAAGGCGAUAGCAAUAUAGCUCAAAUUUACAUUGUUCUAUUUAAUUAAAAUGUUAAAUUACAGUAAUCUACCGUUAACAAUAAUUGGAGGGUAUGGCGCAUGAUGAUCUUUAAUUGCUGUAAAUGUUACAGCGCCAACAUGAUUCAUGACAUUAAAUACAAUCCCUAUGUGUAACACUGAAAAAGUGAGUCUUUUAUUCCUUCAGGAAUUUAGGUGUCAUGGAAAAUGGAUGACAUAGUAAAACACUUGAUGAUGUAGUACACAGAAAAUUAGUACCUGUAUUUGCUUGUGCGCAGUAUUUUUUUUUUUUGAAGACUUAUACAUUGGGUAUGUUUUUUUUUGGAUGAAAGUUUGGUAAGUGGAGUCUUGAGGUGUUGUGUUGAGGGUUUGGUAGGUGGAGUCUUAAAAUGUUGUGUUGAGGAUUUGGUAGGUGGAGUCUUGAGGUGUUGUGUUGAGGGUUUGGUAGGUGGAGUCUUGAGGUGUUGUGUUGAGGGUUUGGUAGGUGGAGUCUUGAGGUGUUGUGCUGAGGGUUUGGUAGGUGGAGUCUUGGGUUACUAUGGUGAGGUGUUGGUAGGUGGAGUCUUGGGUUGAUGAGACUGGAUUGGUGAUUGGCC